UGGCGUAGUGGUCACUGCGCUCGCCUUACACGCGGGAGACCCGGGUUCGAUUCCCGG
rnacentral:tRNA from 1 species